rnacentral:tRNA from 1 species
CGCGGCCGAAGAUGUCCAGGAUCACCGAGUGGUCGAUGACCAUCUCGGCGGGCGACAGCGGGUUGACCUUGUUCGGGUCGCCGCCGAGGGUCGCGAC